UCCAGCCUGAACCUCGCCUGGCGCAGCUUGAAGCCAUUCCCUCUAGUCCUAUCACUGGUUACAUGAGAGAAGAGGCCGACCCCCAGCUCACUACAACCUCCCUUCAGGUACUGUGUCUGACAAGAUCACAACAGUUAUUUAGCCCUUGCUAUGUCCUUGUUGAGGGCUGCAGACAUGGCAGAAUUGCAUCAUUGUGUCAAGGCCAGAAACAGCUCUGUAAGACAUCUACUUUGUAGGCCCUCAGCUGUGUUUUCUUGUGGCCAUCCUUACAAGAGAUUGUCCACGUAUUUUGGCUGCUGGCUGAGAAGACAACUGCAGGACCGGGAAGAUGCCCGUGACCCCUCGUGGCAGGGCACAGGGGGGCUGACUGCAUGGUGGUCCCAAAAGAGGGAGCACGGACUCUAACAGCAAAACAAAUGUGUGUAGUGACCCCAUCUCACCACAUUCAGAAGGUCCUCUGUGCCUCUGGGGCUGAUGGCAAGGCUGAUCCAUUACCUGAGACUCUUCACCCUAUCACAGUUCAGAGUUGCGGGGGACAGAUUCCUGAAGGCAUCAGUUACAUGUGGAGUCAGUUCUUAGAGGAACCCUGCAGUCAAAAACAAAAUGCUCGCUGCUGUGAAAGCAUGCUUCUUUCUUCAACCUCUUCUUGAUGUUUGACAUGAUUUGAAUUUUACAAUAAAUGCAAUCGCAUCCAGACAGUUUGCAGUGCAUUCUACAGACACCAAGGGAAGGAGAGAAUGAACGUAAUAUUGAAAAUGUCAGUCACAGCAUUUUCUACAAGAAAACGAGAAGAGAUGGUUUAAUAAGAUCAAUAUCUGAAUCUGUAUGAGGGAGACGACACUGGAAACAGAGAGCCUGGUUACUCUUUGCGUGUGGUUUCUUUGCUAGUUUUCCUCCUAACUGCCCAUUCUGUGUCUUGCACAAUCAGUAUCUGCCUAUACUGUACUGACAGUAUUAUAAAUGAGACUGCUAAGUUUAAGGCAAAAAUAAUUCCCUGGGGAGAUACGAGUCAAUUGCUUUCCAAAGGUUUUAUGUAACUAUGUUUAAUAUUUUGCUUCCUAUUGUUUUACUAUUUUGCAGAUUUUUAAAUAGCCUCAUGUGACAUUAUCGCAGCAACUAUUUCAUACAUGCAAAUAUUUUCUUUUUACUUACCCAAAUUCAAGUGUACUUUUUGUUAACUGACUACUAAAACUCUGCUCCUCAAAUAAAAUUAUCAUUUUUACUCUGUCAGAAUAGGAAAAGAUAUACCUGCUAUUCAUUAGGUUUUUAAUAAAUGAAAUAAUAAAGGAUAUCAG
ensembl:lncRNA